rnacentral:rRNA from 1 species
AUUGAACGCUGGCGGCAGGCCUAACACAUGCAAGUCGAACGAGUGGCGGACGGGUGAGUAAUGUAUGGGAACCUGCCUGAUGGAGGGGGACCACUACUGGAAACGGGAGCUAAUACCGCAUACCCUCGGAUGUGCCCAGAUGGGAUUAGCUAGUGGGUGGGGUAAGGGCUCCCCUAGGCGACGAUCCCUAGCUGGUCUGAGAGGAUGACCAGCCACACUGGAACUGAGCCCCGGUCCAGACUCCUACGGGAGGCAGCAGUGGGGAAUAUUGCACAAUGGGCGCAAGCCUGAUGCAGCCAUGCCGCGUGUAUGAAGAAGGCCUUCGGGUUGUAAAGUACUUUCAGCGGGGAGGCGUUACCCGCAGAAGAAGCACCGGCUAACUCCGUGCCAGCAGCCGCGGUAAUAC